GGGACCUGAUGCAGCCAUGCCGCGUGUGUGAAGAAGGCCUUCGGGUUGUAAAGCACUUUCAGUUGUGAGGAAAAGUUAGUAGUUAAUACCUGCUAGCCGUGACGUUAACAACAGAAGAAGCACCGGCUAACUCCGUGCCAGCAGCCGCGGUAAUACGGAGGGUGCGAGCGUUAAUCGGAAUUACUGGGCGUAAAGCGCACGCAGGCGGUUUGUUAAGCUAGAUGUGAAAGCCCCGGGCUCAACCUGGGAUGGUCAUUUAGAACUGGCAGACUAGAGUCUUGGAGAGGGGAGUGGAAUUCCAGGUGUAGCGGUGAAAUGCGUAGAUAUCUGGAGGAACAUCAGUGGCGAAGGCGACUCCCUGGCCAAAGACUGACGCUCAUGUGCGAAAGUGUGGGUAGCGAACAGGAUUAGAUACCCUGGUAGUCCACACCGUAAACGCUGUCUACUAGCUGUUUGUGACUUUAAGYCGUGAGUAGCGAAGCUAACGCGAUAAGUAGACCGCCUGGGGAGUACGGCCGCAAGGUUAAAACUCAAAUG
rnacentral:rRNA from 1 species